GACGGAGGGGGCUAGCGUUGUUCGGAAUUACUGGGCGUAAAGAGUGCGUAGGCGGUUUAGUAAGUUGGAAGUGAAAGCCCGGGGCUUAACCUCGGAAUUGCUUUCAAAACUACUAAUCUAGAGUGUAGUAGGGGAUGAUGGAAUUCCUAGUGUAGAGGUGAAAUUCUUAGAUAUUAGGAGGAACACCGGUGGCGAAGGCGGUCAUCUGGGCUACAACUGACGCUGAUGCACGAAAGCGUGGGGAGCAAACAGG
rnacentral:ncRNA from 2 species